CCUACGGGAGGCAGCAGUGAGGAAUAUUGGUCAAUGGACGAGAGUCUGAACCAGCCAAGUAGCGUGAAGGAUGACUGCCCUAUGGGUUGUAAACUUCUUUUAUAUGGGAAUAAAAUGUUCCACGCGUGGCAUUUUGUGUGUACCAGAUGAAUAAGCAUCGGCUAACUCCGUGCCAGCAGCCGCGGUAAUACGGAGGAUCCGAGCGUUAUCCGGAUUUAUUGGGUUUAAAGGGAGCGUAGGCGGAUAGUUAAGUCAGUCGUGAAAGUUUGCGGCUCAACCGUAUCAUUGCAAUUGAUACUGGCAGUCUUGAGUACAGUUGAGGUAGGCGGAAUGCGUGGUGUAGCGGUGAAAUGCUUAGAUAUCACGAAGAACCCCGAUUGCGAAGGCAGCAUACUAAACUGUGACUGACAUUGAUGCUCGAAAGUGUGGGUAUCAAACAGGAUUAGAUACCCGAGUAGUC
rnacentral:rRNA from 1 species